CUUCAAGGAGGUGCAAUAAAGUUUCCUCCUUUUUCUUACACAUAACACACAUCAAGUCAUUAAUAUCCACCAACACACCUCUUUUGAAAAGAUGGUCUUUAGUUGCUAUUCUGUUAUGAAUAAUACGCCAACCAAAAAACAGAAUUUUUGCUUGUAACUUAAUUAGUCUCUCUCUCCACAGCUUAUACACACUUUCUUGUUUUUCUGAAACACAGCUAUUCCCUGGUCAUGGUGAAAUUUUCUCCCCCUCUUUCGUUUCACAUAAACAACAACGAUAAACAACAAUGGUUUAUUGAAAAUGAGAAACCACAUGUUUACAAAUGUGAGUUUUGUCACAAAGUAUUCCCCACAGGUCAAGUACUCGGCGGUCACAAGACUUGUCAUCGAUCCAACAAACAGAUACAUGAUCAUCAUCAUGUUAAUAAGGCUCAGAAAACUAUGAAGGUCACUUUCUCUUUAUCUUCUUCUCCAAGUUAUCAUAACAAUCUUGAUACGAAACAGAAAAGACAUUCAUGGACUAGGGUUUUCAAGGCUACCGUUUGCUGCCACCAAAAUUGUAUAAUCCCAAGAAAAGGAGCAGAAGAUAUCUAAUUCAUGAUCGACUUGUUAAUAAUACUGCUCCAACAUUACAGUUGUUGGAUAUCUCUCGCGAAUCUUGAUUUGAUUUAUCCUGAGUGUAAAAGGAUGAAACUUUCAGGCAAUGGGAAUGAAACGGAGAUGAUGCAAAAACCAUUUGCGCCGCUAACAAGUGAUGGUAUUGAUGAAACGGAAGUGAAGGACGAGAAGAGCUUAAUCAAAGGGCGAGGCUUUUGGUUCCGGUCAUCGCACCUCCGUAACAUGUUGUCUUGGAUUUUCUCAUUGUUCCUUUCGUGCUAUAAGAAAGAGGUGCUGGACUGAUGUUUGUCAGCCUGCAUAAUCCUCAAAUCAAGGAAGUCUCUUCAUUGGUUUUUCUUCAAACAUGCUGACAGUUAUUCCUUUCCAUUGAAAGAUAAGUUCAAUUAUCCUUUCUUGAUAACUCUAUGUGAUUCACAAGGUGAAAUCAUUCAUGAGUAUAAAUAAUUGGUUUUACUGCCGAUUAGGAAAGUUCUAUACACUUUAGCAAUGAUUCUCUGUAUAAUGGUAGGCCAAAAUUAUAUAUUACAGUGUCUUUUUAAAUUAUGAAUUGAUGCUGUAAUUUUUGUAAUAUCGCAAUGGAGUUGCAGAUUCUAAAAUGGAUGAAUGGAAAAAUGCAGUAUUGUUCGAUUAGCCUGUAGGAUGUUGGAACACUAAUCCAUGCAUUCAGGUUUACAUUAAAACGGACUACUGAUGCAACCGAGUACUGAUGCACCAAAACAGUAUCGAGCUAUGGUUUGAUCCGAGUAAAUCCGUUCACUGGAACUUAAAUGCUUGUGACCCUUCCCGUUGCGGUACGGUACAAAUCGAUGGGGAGUAAGCUGGAUUCUUCAAGUACUAUCAUCAAUUUCCAAAUGACAUGGUCGAUUUAACGUUGGCUGCGUGUUGGUGGAGAUUAUGGUCCUUAUAGGAAAUCUGAGAGGAAUUCUUUGCCGCAAGCUUCAAUAUUUUUAGCAACGUGAAGUGGAAUGUUGUUAUAUGUACAACAGGCUGUUUUGGUGGCCUUGGUUUGAUGGCCUCCGGACAUUUGAAGAUGAAUGUUUGGUGCGGAUCUGGCGCGACCAGAUUGUGCUAUUCUGAACUGCAUGACCCGAAUUUAGGAUCUGAAGUGAUUUCCUCUCGGAUUGAACAUGAUGUAUAGGUAUAACUUUGUCUUUCAUUUGGCUUUGAGGUCAGGAAUCGUAACGAUGUUAGCUGGUAGUUAAAGGUUAAGUCAAAAGGAAAUCGAAGGUUAGAUGUUAAGGAAGUAUUGAAUGCAGAAUGUGUAUGUACAAGUUCGGUGAUGAGGCUGCCCGUGACGCUGCUCCGAGUGCAAGGCUGACUGAGUAGCACGUCUACAUCCAGAUGUCUCACUUCAUAGUUCAUAUACAUUUUAGGUGCCUGGAGGUUAAGUUGGUCAAGGUCGGGAGAUUUUGAAAAUCCAAGGGCUGGUGACAGUAGCGGCGUCUCCGGGAUUUUGUUUUUCGAUUCUGUUGAAUUUGGUGCUACGAGAAGGGUGCUUGUCUUGAAUACUAUAUCUUUGGGGACUGUUUUGAAAUUCACAUCAAUCAAUUUUUCCGCAAUAACAAGUGCUGGGAGUAUGGUUUUUAUUUCAGUUUAUUUGGGGUAGGCUUUGGUGUCUUGUGUUCGGUUUGCUUACCAUAUGAUUUAGUUUGGUGUAAUUAACUCUGAUGUAAUUUAGCACUGCUGGUGCUUGAUCUGUUAUAACUGUUAAGCCAGUUGAAGGUA